ensembl:lincRNA
CAAAACUUGGUGGACGAGUCUGUUAGGUGACGAGAAGAAGCGGAUUCGAUUUCGGUGCAUGUCCGGAUCCAGAUCUGGCCUGUACGUGGGAUAGAAAAUGUAAACUGUUCAUCCUGGCGGAGGCUCAACGGAUGAAGUUUCCCAAGAUAUUUGGGAAGAGCAAAGACAAGUCAUCCAAGACAAGAGAAAAGGUUAUCGAACAUGACUCUGCAGCAUCUCCUGGGAAUGUGGACGAUCAACAUGGGGCAACCUCUCAACCUGAAAUGCAACGUUUGGAUAAAAAGCAUGGCAGUACCACCCAUCUACCAUCGGGACUGAGAAAGCUGUUUCGCUGGCGAAAAAAGAAGAAAAAGAAGAAAACAACCAGGAAGGGAGAUGGCACUCAGAGGGAAACGGAAACUUUUGCAGCUGCAGGUGGAGGCACAGGAAAUGAAAAAGGACAAUGGCAAGGCUUCUCCAGUGACAAAUUAGAAUUCUUGCUCGAGGAGAUUCUUCGACGGAUGGAGAACGGCGGCUCAUUGUCUCAGAGUACCCUGUCAAUGGCCAGCGGAUAUACAGAACCGUUAUCUCAAAGAAUGGACCACAGACGCUUUCAGCCCAACUACCGCUGUGGGUCUGCAAUCGACUUGUCCUAUGGAUCUGCACAAAAACGGUGACUUUUCUGACCACGUUGCCACAAUGCCAAAUUUUCACAGGAGGCGGAACAAAAUGGCCUCGGUCAGCGAUAUUGCCACAGCACAGUCUGAUCGGAGAAGUUUCGAAAAUUUCCGGUCAAUGAUGAUGGAACAACAGCAUAGAAACCCGGGUGGGGAGAUGUUAUCAGAUGACGACUCUGAUUAUAAUGACUGCUUCAGCAACGGAAGAUCGAUUGAAGAUCUUUCAUCUGUGAUGGAGCAAAUCCCUCCAGAGCUUGCUUACAUCCUCUUCAGAAAAAUGAAGGCACUGGAUAAGAAGCUGGAGAGGAACGACGCACGGACGGAUCCAGGAACUUCAUCUCCCAACAGUAUUGCUUCAUCGGUUAGUUCACUGGGCAGAAGAACAAUUUCUCCGAGUUUUGCAAAAGGUCCAGGAGUCGCAAGACCGAGCAGCCAUCCUACUCAUGCACGCCUCCCAACAACUGAAGAGUCUUCACAAGAGGAACCAUACUAUAGCGUGAUUGACAAGAGAAAUGAAAAUUAUGUUGACCAUUUUGAAAAUUCAUCAGACAGAAGCUCUUCCUGUUUGCACGAAAACGCUCCAUCUUCUCCAUAUAUGAGUGGACAAUCACGUGAUCAUGAUGUUGCUGAGAUGUACGAAACAGAAGGCGACCUACGUGAAGCAACGAAUGGUCGAACAAACGAAGAUCAAGACGAAUUGGAAUCGUCCUCGGGAAUGAGCAGACUUCCAAGAAUCAGAACAGCACUUAGGAACACUUCGACUUCUGACAUGUCUGAAGACCAGCAAAGACGUGAAAACGACCUUUCUGAUGGAUAUGAAGAAACAGAAUCACCCGAGAGUGUCAGCACAAAACUGGCACCUCACAAUAAGCGUUACGACAGGAACAGCGAGCGGAUCGAAAUGGGGAAUGGUGAAAAUAACUCUGCAUCGUCAAAUUCUAAAAUGAGGAACAAAUCCAAAAACGAAGAGGUAAAUUAUCGGCCGAAUUUGAGACGACGGCAUGUCACAGGAGUUGAAGUGCAUAACGACUCUGAUUCUGAAGAUGAGCAUCAAGAUUCACAAAUGUUUGCGCAACAAAGGAAUAUUCUGAAAAGAGCUCAAACGCCAGUAAACUAUGAAUCUGAGGAAGAAGAGCAUGAGAUAUCCGAAGAAGAGCAACGAAUACCCGAUAGGAUGUUAUUGAGACCAAAUGCUAAUCGGAUGGAGAAUAUGGAUGAUGUCUUGACCUCGAGCGCAAGAAACAACCAACCUAAUGCUGGUGACCAUGAGACUAUGCAAGAUGGCCCAUUAAAUCCACCUGUAAAGAACCAAUCAGAAGAGAGCUCCCAAAUGAUACACUCAUGUGGUGAUGCAGUUGAGUCUAUUAAUCACGAUGAGGAAGGCUAUGAUGUACCAACUGAUGGGACAAACUUUCAUGAAAUGAUGAGGAAUCUUCAGGAAAAUGUCACCGAAAACGGCGAAUCUUUCCUCGGGGACAGCAGGGAUGGAAAACGUAACAACUCCGGAAUCUACGCUGAUGAAAGGUUUUGGAAUAAAACUGAGGAUGCUGGGGAAAGUAGUCAGAGUUUCCAAGGCCUAUUUGAUGGAUCACAGGGUGAUCAAAGAAUGGAUGAAACUCUGCAUUGUCUUUCUCCUAUUAUUGAGGAAAAUCAGUCAGGGGAUAGAACAGACGAGGCAAGAGGCCGAACAAAUGGCAAAGGAGAGAUAUUUUACAAGGAACCAAAUUAUGCAAGUCGUCAAAAUAAACAUUUGGAAUUUGACAAAGGAACAUGGAAGAAGACUGCAUCUCGUGGAAAAGAUCCAAACGUCUCACGGGCAAAUGGAAUCUCUGGAGUUGAGAAUUUAAAUCGCGUGAUGGGAACUACAUCUACACACAAUGAAGGGAGAGAGAUGAAGCGAGCUCGGAAUGAUUGGGAGAGCCCUUUGAUGCAGGCCGGCCACAACAUUUUCCCAGAGAUAACAAAUUGA